rfam:Ricinus communis cultivar Hale ctg_1100012314400, whole genome shotgun sequence.
AUAAUGUUUCUUGCUCAAAUGAGUAUUCCAACAAACAGUUUGCAUUUUGCGUACAAAGAAUAUAUUUCACUCUUUCUUCUUUUCUUUAAUCACUCACUAUAUAUAUAUAUAUAUGUGUGGGUUUGAUUCUGCUGGUGGUGCUACUGUUUGUUUUGAGAUGCUCAUUUGAGCAAGCAAUAUUAA